ACACAAACGUGUGGAAGGAAACAGGCAGUGGAGAUACAGCUCUGCUGAGCACACUGGGCAACCGCUCUUUCCAGGGGCCAGCAGGAGACCAGGUUUUACAAUGGUUGCUGUAAUGUUAUCAUCAGUAGCCAGAAGUGAAAGUGGAAAAGGCAGCUCCGUUUACAAUGAGGACUUCAAAUCACCAUUACAUACUCUGGAGCCAAUUUAGCAAGAAACAUUGAGAAAACUCCAAAACCAUAAUGACACCCUGGAGAAACUCAGACUAGAUGGACAGCAGACACGAUACAUGACUGAGAAGACUAAACAGCUUCAAAAGGCAUAGGAAUUCCUGAGAACUGCUGAAAUUCAGAAGAGAAUCCCUACUGCUUAGUGGUUACAGUAAAUUCUGUCUGAACAACCUAGAUACCCCUUCUCAGUGAAGCAUCAUUAUCUUACCUGCUGAGGGUGUUGGCAGCCAUUCUCAGUCCCAUGUCUUUCCAAGAUUUGCCCUCCACUGAAGAAAGCAGCCCUGCCCAAGGUUACAACCCUCUCCUCAACUUCCAAUGACUGGUCAAUGCCAGAUGAAAGGGUAUAAGGUCAGACUCUCCUGCCUCAUGAAGCAGCGCCCGAAAGAUAAUUCCCAUGGAACCCUCUUCUCCUGGGGUGAGCUCGAAGAAUCCCAUAGAAGUGGAGGCAGAAAGAGUGUAAGGGUGAGAGGAUGGAGGGCACCAGGAAAAGAAAACCCUCAGAAGCAACUAAGAGAGGUAUGUAUGAGCUCACAGAGACUGAAGCAGCAAGCACAGGCCUGCGUGGGUCUGCACCAGGUCCUCUGUGUACAUACCACAACCUUUAGCUUAGUAUGUUUAUGGGACUGCUUGCUGGCUGUGAGAACAAGUGGCUCUCUGACUCUCAUGCCUGCUCUUGGGAUUCUUUUUCCUCCUGUUAAGUUGCAG
rnacentral:lncRNA from 1 species